rnacentral:misc_RNA from 1 species
CUUGGUCAUUUAGAGGAAGUAAAAGUCGUAACAAGGUUUCCGUAGUGAACCUGCGGAAGGAUCAUUAAUGUAACCGGACCUUACCGGUGCCGUAAGACGCAUCGGUUUGGAAAGGGAGAUAUCAUACACCCUGUGUUUAUUUACCUUUGUUGCUUUGGCGGGCCGUCCUUCCAGGCGUCGGCCCCGGCUGAUCGCGCCCGCCAGAGGACCCAAACUCUUUUAUCAGUGAUGUCUGAGUACUAUAUAAUAGUUAAAACUUUCAACAACGGAUCUCUUGGUUCUGGCAUCGAUGAAGAACGCAGCGAAAUGCGAUAAGUAAUGUGAAUUGCAGAAUUCAGUGAAUCAUCGAAUCUUUGAACGCACAUUGCGCCCGCUGGUAUUCCGGCGGGCAUGCCUGUUCGAGCGUCAUUAUGACCAAUCAAGCUCUGCUUGGCCUUGGGGCCGCUGUACCGGCGGCCCUUAAAAUCAGUGGCGGUGCCGUCUGGCUCUAAGCGUAGUAAUACUUCUCGCUACAGGGUCCAGUCGUCCACCCGCCAGAACCCCCAACUUUCUUAGGUUGACCUCGGAUCAGGUAGGGAUACCCGCUGAACUUAAGCAUAUCAAUAAGCGGAGGA